ACGAACGCUGGCGGCGUGCUUAACCCCUGCAAGUCGAACGGAAAGGCCCUGCUUUUGUGGGGUGCUCGAGUGGCGAACGGGUGAGUAACACGUGAGUAACCUGCCCUUGACUUUGGGAUAACUUCAGGAAACUGGGGCUAAUACCGGAUAGGAGCUCCUGCUGCAUGGUGGGGGUUGGAAAGUUUCGGCGGUUGGGGAUGGACUCGCGGCUUAUCAGCUUGUUGGUGGGGUAGUGGCUUACCAAGGCUUUGACGGGUAGCCGGCCUGAGAGGGUGACCGGCCACAUUAGGACUGAGAUACGGCCCAGACUCCUACGGGAGGCAGCAGUGGGGAAUAUUGCACAAUGGGCGGAAGCCUGAUGCAGCAACGCCGCGUGCGGGAUGACGGCCUUCGGGUUGUAAACCGCUUUCGCCUGUGACGAAGCGUGAGUGACGGUAAUGGGUAAAGAAGCACCGGCUAACUACGUG
rnacentral:rRNA from 1 species